UGAGGAAUAUUGGUCAAUGGACGGAAGUCUGAACCAGCCAUGCCGCGUGAAGGAUGAAGGCGUUCUGCGUUGUAAACUUCUUUUAUCUGGGAAGAAACCACAGAUUUCUAUUUGUGUUGACGGUACCAGAGGAAUAAGCACCGGCUAACUCCGUGCCAGCAGCCGCGGUAAUACGGAGGGUGCGAGCGUUAUCCGGAUUUACUGGGUUUAACGGGUGCGUAGGCGGGCUAUUAAGUCAGAGGUGAAAUCUCCGGGCUCAACCUGGAAACUGCCUUGGAUACUAUUAGCCUUGAAUUAGGUUGAGGUUGGCGGAAUAUAUCAUGGAGCGGUGAAAUGCUUAGAUAUGUUAUGGAACACCGAUUGCGAAGGCAGCUGGCUAAACAGAUAUUGACGCUGAUGCACGAAAGCGUGGGUAGCGAACA
rnacentral:rRNA from 1 species